UCCACCAGCGAGUGGGCUGGGAGGCAUAAGAAGCUGAGAGAAGACACAGCCAGGACAGCUGACCCAACUGGCCAAAGGGAUAUUCCAUAGGACAGAACGCCACACCCAGUAGAUAAACUGGGGGAAGCUGGCUGGGAGGAGCCAAUCACUGCUUGGGAACUGGCUGGACAGCAGUCGGCAGGUGAAGCACUUUGGUCAGGCCUACAAAGGAGUUGCAGACAGAAGCCAUGAACAGAUGUCCUCUUGGGAACCCUGCUGUGAGUUGGAAGGGGUUACUACUCUCAGCUGCUCAGCACCAUUCCAUGCUCUCCUCAUUAAGGAUCACCCCCACUGAUGUGCUCAUUGAACAGUUUGUAUGACCACUUCCUACAUGGUGCAGCUUCAGGGUGAGCCUGUUAUCCUGGUACAGACCAACGAUGAGCAAAACAAAUGGAGCUGAUUUUUGCUUAAAACAAACGAGGGAGCUCCUGCACAAGUGGUGUGAGUGGAUGGAGAGGGAAGCAGCCUUUGGCAGGGGAAGUACAGCAAGUAGCUAAAAUGGAACUUAUUCUGGUGACAUGGCCGGAUUUGGAGAAGUCUGUCUGUGGCUCAAACUAGCAGUUCCUCCAGUGUGUAAUGGAUGCAGUUACCCAGACAUCAGAAGGAAUCUGGCUCCAAGACAAUCAACUAGAAGAGCAUUUGUCCCAAAAGCGGUAUCACAGGCAUUGAAAGCUACUAGGAAUUACAGAAAACAGCUACCCAAGCUGCAGGUCAAUAAGAAUCACAAGUAAAUUAACGACAGUGUAACUUCCCUACAAAAAACACGUUCUUGUAAAUUCCCAAGCAUCAGCAUCUUCUGACUACUUUACAGCUUUUGGGUGUAUUUUGGCCCGUGAAAUCUGCCUGAUGUGCUGGAACCCAACUGCCCUCACCAGACAAGCAAACAAGCAAACCUCCUCUGCCACGCAAUUCUUUCAGGAAUUAAGAAACAUUCAUAGGGGUUCUCACAUCUUCCUAACGACAACAAACAGUUAGUCAAGUUACCUUUGUUAAGCAAACCAAUUUUCAUUGCUUUAAUUCAAACGGCCUUAAAAUAGAAUUCUUGCCUGCUUUAUUUUGUCAGAUGCAAAGAAAACUGAGAAACUGUAUCCAUUGUUCCUUAAAAGAGCUUAUUAGUGAAACAAAGACCUUUUUUUUCCAGUGA